rnacentral:rRNA from 1 species
AGAGUUUGAUCCUGGCUCAGGAUGAACGCUGGCGGCGUGCUUAACACAUGCAAGUCGAACGAAGCAUAGGAGUGGAAUUUUUCGGAAGGAAACAACUAUGACUGAGUGGCGGACGGGUGAGUAACGCGUGGGUAACCUGCCUCAUACAGGGGGAUAACAGUUAGAAAUGACUGCUAAUACCGCAUAAGCGCACAAAACCGCAUGGUUUGGUGUGAAAAACUGAGGUGGUAUGAGAUGGACCCGCGUCUGAUUAGCUAGUUGGAGAGGUAACGGCUCACCAAGGCAACGAUCAGUAGCCGACCUGAGAGGGUGACCGGCCACAUUGGGACUGAGACACGGCCCAAACUCCUACGGGAGGCAGCAGUGGGGAAUAUUGCACAAUGGGGGAAACCCUGAUGCAGCAACGCCGCGUGAGUGAAGAAGUAUUUCGGUAUGUAAAGCUCUAUCAGCAGGGAAGAAGAGAGACGGUACCUGACUAAGAAGCCCCGGCUAACUACGUGCCAGCAGCCGCGGUAAUACGUAGGGGGCAAGCGUUAUCCGGAUUUACUGGGUGUAAAGGGAGCGUAAACGGUUGCAUAAGUCUGAAGUGAAAGGCCAAGGCUUAACCAUGGAACUGCUUUGGAAACU